UACGGAGGGGGCUAGCGUUGUUCGGAAUUACUGGGCGUAAAGCGCACGUAGGCGGAUAUUUAAGUCAGGGGUGAAAUCCCGGGGCUCAACCCCGGAACUGCCUUUGAUACUGGGUAUCUGGAGGUCGAGAGAGGCGAGUGGAAUUCCGAGUGUAGAGGUGAAAUGCGCAGAUAUCAGGAAGAACACCCGUGGCGAAGGCGGCUCUCUGGGACGGUACUGACGCUGAGACGCGAAAGCGUGGGGAGCGAACAGG
rnacentral:rRNA from 1 species